rnacentral:lncRNA from 1 species
UAAAAUGAAACUGUGGGUUCCGAGGGUGCCAUGGCAAAAUCCGAUGAUCGUGAAGGUAAUCCAGCAAAUUUCUAUCCCCACUAGACUCCCUUAGAACCCAGAAACAAAUCCCAAUCAGUGGUGGAGGUGUCGGAACACGUUUGGAGGUCGAAUCGAAUCACACCCAAUUCUAGGGUUCCGACGGGUUUUGAUGAAAUUGAAGCCUUUCCAGGCCAAAUUGGCCUUGGUCACAGGUAUGAAAGUUGUUCUAAUCAUUGAGAUCUUCUUCAAAUCUGCAAAUUUUGGU